AUACGUAGGUGGCAAGCGUUGUCCGGAAUUAUUGGGCGUAAAGCGCGCGCAGGUGGGAUCUUAAGUCCAUUUUGAAAGUUCGGAGCUCAACUCCGUGAUGGGAUGGAAACUGGGAUUCUUGAGUAUCGGAGAGGAAAGCGGAAUUCCCCGUGUGGCGGUGAAAUGCGUAGAUAUGGGGAGGAACACCAGUGGCGAAGGCGGCUUUCUGGACGAUGUCUGACACUGAGGCGCGAAAGCCAGGGGAGC
rnacentral:rRNA from 1 species